rnacentral:rRNA from 1 species
AUUGAACGCUGGCGGAGUGCUUUACACAUGCAAGUCGAACGGCAGCACGGACUUCGGUCUGGUGGCGAGUGGCGAACGGGUGAGUAAUGUAUCGGAACGUGCCCAGUCGUGGGGGAUAACGUAGUGAAAAUUACGCUAAUACCGCAUACGAUCUAUGGAUGAAAGCGGGGGAUCGCAAGACCUCGCGCGAUUGGAGCGGCCGAUAUCAGAUUAGGUAGUUGGUGGGGUAAAGGCCCACCAAGCCAACGAUCUGUAGCUGGUCUGAGAGGACGACCAGCCACACUGGAACUGAGACACGGUCCAGACUCCUACGGGAGGCAGCAGUGGGGAAUUUUGGACAAUGGGCGAAAGCCUGAUCCAGCCAUUCCGCGUGCAGGAUGAAGGCCCUCGGGAUGUAAACUGCUUCUGUACAGAACGAAAAGGUUUCUACUAAUACUAGGAGCUCAUGACGGUACUGUAAGAAUAAGCACCGGCUAACUACGUGCCAGCAGCCGCCGUAA